UUCGACCUCCUAUUUCCGAUCCUACCCUCCGUUCGUCUCUUUCUUCUCUCACGUCUCUCACUGUGUGGCUGUGUGUAUGUGGUCUAUAUGUGUCGUGUCUUCUGUGUGUGAUGUUUAGAGUGAGGAAGAUGGUCAAUCUCUGUAGUGAGUGGGAGUGAGUAUGUGAUUGAAUAUUGUUGUCUGUUGUGUAUUAUGGGUAUGAAUAUGGUGAGGUAUAUGUGAAUUCCCCUAAAAAUGGAAGAGAGUGAUGGUGUAUGUGUGU
rnacentral:lncRNA from 1 species